rnacentral:rRNA from 1 species
CAGCUUGUUGGUGAGGUAACGGCUCACCAAGGCGACGAUCCGUAGCUGGUCUGAGAGGACGAUCAGCCACACUGGGACUGAGACACGGCCCAGACUCCUACGGGAGGCAGCAGUGGGGAAUCUUGCGCUAAUGCGGGAAACCGUGACGCAGCGACGCCGCGUGAGGGAUGACGGCCUUCGGGUUGUAAACCUCUUUCAGGAGGGACGAAGCCACUCGGGUUAAUAGCCCAGAGGGUGACGGUACCUCCAGAAGAAGCCCCGGCUAACUACGUGCCAGCAGCCGCGGUAAUACGUAGGGGGCAAGCGUUGUCCGGAUUUAUUGGGCGUAAAGAGCGUGUAGGCGGCUAGGUAGGUCCGUUGUGAAAACUCGAGGCUCAACCUCCAGACGUCCAUGGAAACCAUCUAGUUAGAGUCCGGAAGAGGAGAGUGGAAUUCCUGGUGUAGC